rnacentral:misc_RNA from 1 species
UAUUUUUGUUUAUAGUUAUUAUGUUACAAUAUUUAAUUAAAAGAUCGUUUGUUCUUCCACUAUAUAAAUGCUGUAACAUCAAGAAGUUCUCUACUAAAAACAGAUUAAAAGUUUUAUUUUUAGGCACUGACAAUUUCAGUGUUGGUAUUUUAAAUGCUUUGAACCAAAUGAAGUUGACUGGAGGUAUUUCUGAAUUAGAUGUUAUAUCUAGUGCUUCUUCUAGAAUUGUCAAGAAUAAAACCAUUCUUCCUCCUGUUUUAAUGUACGCUGAAAAAAAUAACUUACAAAGCCAUUGUUGGGUAGAAGCUAGAAAAAACAGAAGGCUUUCUUCAAAGUAUGAUGUUGCAGUUGUUGCUUCGUUUGGUGACUUUAUACCUGCACCUAUAAUUUCACAAUUUGAAAAAUCAAUUAAUGUUCACCCUUCACUGCUUCCUCGAUGGAGAGGGGCUGCUCCAGUUAUUCACACCAUUUUUAAUAAUGACAGAACUACGGGCGUGUCAAUUAUUGAAGUUUCCAAGCACAAAUUUGAUGUCGGCAAUAUUUUGUAUCAAAUAGAAACAAAGGUUCCUGAUGGUUGCACUAGUGAUGAACUUUUGGUUUUAUUAAUGAACAAAGCAGCAUCAAUAAUGCCUUAUGUUAUGAGUCAUCUUGAUGAACUAUUUAUCAAGUCUAAGCCUCAAGAUGAAAGCUUAGCUACAUUAGCUCCAAAAGUGUCAAACCUAGAUGGCUUUAUUAAUCUCCAGUUGCUUACAUGUGAAGUUGUUUCCAGAAUACAAAGAGCUCUUCCUGAAAAGAUUGGUAUAAGUGUUCAAAAUAAUGGCAAACGUCUAAAACUAGGGAAAAUUGUUGAAAUUGAAAAAGAUUCAUUUAACGUAUUGAAUGGUUAUAUUGAUUGCUUAAAUACUCCUGCUCUUUCUUUUACUAGCAAGUGAUUUUCCAAAUGGUUAUUGUCAUUAUCACAAAAAGAAAAAGACAUUGUUUAUCAAAUUAAAGGAUGGAUGGAUUGGUGUUAAAAAUCUACAUGUAGAGUGUAAAAAAGAAAUAUCUGCGACAGAUUUUUAUAACGGAUAUAUGAUAAAUACAGAUGGAACAGUUGGCGAGACUAUUUUUAAAAGUAUUGAAGCCACUUGAGAUUAAUGUCGCAAGCUAGAAUAAAUAAUUGAAAUAGUAGUAGACUUAUUCAUGAAGAAUGUAAAGAAUUAAGUUUCUUUUCUUUUUUUAUGUCAUUUUUGUAAAUAUAAAUA